UACGAGUGCCUCAAGCGUUAUCCGGAAUCAUUGGGCGUAAGGGUGGGUAGGGGGUCAUAUUAGUCUUUUGUUAAAUUCUUCGGCUUAACCGGGGGCAUGCAAGGGAAACGGUAUGACUCGAGGAUGCGAGGGGUCUGCGGAACUCAUAGUGUAGCGGUGAAAUGCGUUGAUAUUAUGGGGAACACCAAAAGCGAAGGCAGCAGACUGGAGCACUCCUGACACUGAAACAAGAAAGCGUGGGUCGCGAAUGGG
rnacentral:rRNA from 1 species